rnacentral:lncRNA from 1 species
GGGGACACCAUAGAACCGCCCCUCCAUGGAUGGGGACACCAUGGAACCUCCAUUCAUGGGGCCACCAUGGAACCUUCAUCCAUGGGGACACCAUGGAACCCUCUCCAUGGAUGGGGACUCCAUGGAACCUCCAUCCAUGGGGACAUUGGGGCACCUCCAUCCAUGGGGACAUCAAAGACACCCCCCAUGAUUGGGGACAUGGGGACACCACAAAACCUCCAUCCAUGGGGACAUUGGGGCACCUCCGUGGAUGGGGACAUGGAAGAACACCCAUGGAUGGGGACAUGGGGACACCAUGGAACCCCCCCCAUGGAUGGGGACACAGGGACACCAUGGAACCUCCAUCCAUGGAUGGGGACACCACAGAACCUCCAUGGAUGGGGACAUCAGAGACACCCCCCAUGGAUGGGGACAUGAGGACAUUGAAGAACGGUCAUGGAUGGGGACACAAGGACAACAAGGAACCUCCAUCCAUAGGGACACCAUGGAAGCUCCAUCCAUGGGGACAUUGGGGCACCUCCAUGGAUGGGGACACCAUGGAACCUCCAUGGAUGUGGACACCAUGGAACAUGGAACCUCCAUCCAUGGGGCCACCAUGGAACCUCCAUCCAUGGGGGCACCAUGGAACCCCCCCCAUGGAUGGGGACACCAGGGAACCUCCAUCCAUGGGGGCACCAUGGAACAUGGAAUCUCCAGCCAUGGGGACAGUGGGGCACCUCCAUGGAUGGGGACAUGGGGACACCAUGGAACCUCCAUCCAUGGGGACAUUGGGGCGCCUCCAUCCAUGGGGACAUCAGAGACACCCCCCAUGGAUGGGGACAUUGAAGAACGCCCAUGGAUGGGGACACAAGCACAACAAGGAAUCCCCCCCAUGGAUGGGGGUUCCAUGGAACCUCCAUCCAUGGGGACAUUGGGGCAUCUCCAUCCAUGAGCAUACCAUGGAACCCCCCCCAUGGAUGGGGACUCCAUGGAACGUCCAUCCAUGGGGACACCAUGGAACCUUCAUCCAUGGGGCCACCAUGGAACAUGGAACCUCCAUCCAUGGGGACAUUGGGGCACCUCCAUCCAUGGAGACACCAUGGAACCCCCCCAUGGAUGGGGACAUGGGGACAUUGAAGAACACCCAUGGAUGGGGACACAAGGACAACAAGGAAUCUCCAUCCAUGGGGACACCAUGGAACAUGGAACCUCCAUCCAUGGGGACAUUGGGGCAUCUCCAUGGAUGGGGACACCAUGGAACCCCCCCCAUGGGUGGGGACACCAUGGAACCUCCAUCCAUGGGGACAUUGGGGCAUCUCCAUGGAUGGGGACAUCAAAGACACCCCCCAUGGAUGGGGACAUGGGGACACCACAGAACCUCCAUCCAUGGGGACAAUGGGGCACCUUCAUGGAUGGGGACAUGGGGACACUGAAGAACACCCAUGGAUGGGGACACAAGACAACAAGGAACCUCCAUCCAUGGGGACACCAUGGAACCUCCAUCCAUGGGGACACCAUGGAACCUCCAUCCAUGGAUGGGGACACCAUGGAAGCUCCAUCCAUGGGGACAAUGGGGCACCUCCAUCCAUGGGGGCACCAUGGAACCUCCAUGGAUGUGGACACCAUGGAGACUCCAUCCAUGGGGACAUCAUGGAACCUUCAUCCAUGGAGACACCAUGGAACCCCCCCCCAUGGGUGGGGACACGGGACAACAAGGAACCUCGAUCCAUGGGGACACCAUGGAACCCCCAUCCAUGGGGACAAUGGGGCACCUCCAAGGAUGUGGACACCAUGGAACCUCCAUCCCUGGGGACACCAAUGACCCCCCCCCAUGGAUGGGGACAUGGGGACAUUGGGGCACCCCCAUCCAUGGGGACAGCAGGGACCCCCCCUCCAC